GGUCGGCCAAUGCUACCUGUCCUGGAGGUCUCAUGGGAAGGAGGACGGGGGUCAGCUCAGCCGCUGCGUGUCACAGGAGCUACUGGCCAGAAGAGGAUUGGUCCGCCAGGAAGGUGUCCGUGUUCCCUGUGGACCGGUCACGUGUUGUCCUCUGCCGGGCCAGCUAGUGGUGCUUGAUGUGGAGUGCUGCUUAAUAUUUUUUAUUUAUUUAUUUUAAAAAGGGGGCGGGUCCACAGCUCCGUGAUUAGGCCACGCCCCCAACUUUGCCAGGCCUCGGCCGUUCUGUCUGCAGCCCUGCUUGAGAGUGGCUCCCGCAGUGACAGUCACUCGACUUGGAGAGACCGCUGAUUGGAACACGACCAGUGAUGUAUUGCCACGGCUACAGCAUCCGGAUGAAUGAAAACACGUUACUACACACAGGCUCGUGGAUUCAGGAACAACUUUUGUUUGCGUUCCACCACUGUCCGAAAUGACACGCAAGCACUUCCGGCAUGAUAAUCAUGUCAUUUCCGGGUAAUGUCAGCUGAUCAGUGUGAGACUCCACACAUAUAGCGGCUAGACGGAGCCUGCACCAGUGACCGAGAGUAACCACGGCAACCCCACCCGGUCAAAACGUCACUUCCGGACACACAUUACCAUAGCAACCCGAUAUUUCGGCCUAAUGGGCAGGAACAUACUUCUCUCCCUUUAAUUACGGACUUGUGAAACUAUAGGACUUCUGGCACAUGAUAUACUUGUGCACAGUUUAAUAAUCAUGUUUUUGUUGUUUCCAUUCAUACCGGAUGUAGCCAUGGCAACGGGCCAUUUCCAUGUUACUAAGAGCUAUAAUUAUAGUAAAAUAUUUAAAUAAUGCCUGCAAUAUAAAAAACCAUUAAGUGAGGAUAUAAAUCUGGACAAUUUAUGUGAAAUUGUAUAAAAAUGAAGAGGUUUUUAUGUUAUAUAAUUGUACCAGUAUGAAGUCAUUUCCUGUGUAUGAUGAUUGGCUGUUCAUAGUUUAAAUACUGGGUGCUUCACACUCCACCCAUGUCUUGAUAAAGGUCAGUUGGUGACCGAAAUGCAUUGACGACAGAAGGAGUGUGAACAGCCAGCUUUUCUUCCACACCACCCCAAUACAUCUUUGCUGACUCUGGUAAGAAGGCGACCCUUUUUUUUGAUCACCGGUAUUGCUUUCCAACCAUUCCAGAGAUCAGCUGGGGUGUGUAUGGUAAUUUUCACUUUUAUUUUAUUUUUUACUUCAUUUUAUCUGUGGUGCAUUUUUCCUGCAAUCUUUUUUCACCUGUGGAAUUGCUUUGGAUUGCACCUUGUGUUUUAAAUUGUUGGAUCUUCCCAGAUUGUGGGACCCCUUUUUGUACAAUAAAACUUUGCCAUUUUUUA